rnacentral:lncRNA from 1 species
GGCCAUCAGGGAGUGUGAACGGGAGACUGGUGGAGCAACUCCCUGCAGGGCCUGAAGGAGAGGUACUGGGGUGAGACACCCCAAAUGGGGGUGGACCCCCUGCCCUGUCGGGCAGAGGGAGGGGACCUAGGAGUUAAGGAGGAAUGGAGACAGGUCCCUGCUCGACCUCGCAGAAGAUGCCCCCCAUUACCGCCCCCACCUUCCCAGGUGCGAGUACACAACAGGUUUGAGGCCCUAGAGCUUGAGAGACCAGUGGGUGAAGAUGAGGUAGGAAGUCUACCCAGGAGGAUACCUAGGGCGAGGAGGUUGACUCCACGCCUCAAGACUGCCUCCACAAAGAAAGGCAGAAGGGUAAUUGUUGUAGGCGACUCCCUUCUCGGGGAGACAGAGGGCCCUAUUUGUCGACCUGACCCUACCUGCAGGGAAGUCUGCUGCCUCCCUGGGGCCAGGGUCAGGGAUGUUGCCAGGAAGCUUCCCAACCUGGUUCACCCCUCUGACUACUACCCUCUUUUGAUAGUCCAGGCUGGCAGUGAUAAUAUUGAAGAGAGAAGUCUGAAGGCUAUCAAACGGGACUUUAGGGGACUGGGAUGGUUAGUGGAUGGAGCGGGAGUACAGGUGGUGUUUUCAUCCAUCCCUACAGUGGCAGGGAGGGGUCCAGAGUGGACACGGAAAGCUCACCUGAUUACCACAUGGCUCAGAGGCUGGUGCCAACACAGAAAUUUUGUUUUUUUUGACCAUGGGGUGCUUUACUCGGCACUCGGCCUGAUGGCCGCAGACAGGUCCCUGUCUCUAAGGGGAAAACGGAUCCUAGCCCAGGAGCUGUCAGGGCUCAUUGAGAGGGCUUUAAACUAGGUAAGAAGGCAGAUGGGGCUGAAAUAAGGAUUGUUGGAGCUGUGCCAGGGGGAACAAUGGCAAGGCCGGCGGCGAAGGCAAUGGCCCGACUGAAGUGCAUCUACACUAAUGCACGCAGCAUGGGUAACAAACAAGGUUGGAUGUUAGGAAGAACUUCUUUACUGAAAGGGUUGUUUUGCAUUGGAAUGGGCUGCCCAGGGAGGUGGUUGAGUCACCAUCCCUGGAGGNNNNNNNNNNNNNNNNNNNNNNNNNNNNNNNNNNNNNN